CCUGUGAGGGUUGCUGGAGGUAUCAGAAGUGCGAAUGCUGACAUAAGUAACGAUAAAGCGGGUGAAAAGCCCGCUCGCCGGAAGACCAAGGGUUCCUGUCCAACGUUAAUCGGGGCAGGGUGAGUCGACCCCUAAGGCGAGGCCGAAAGGCGUAGUCGAUGGGAAACGGGUUAAUAUUCCCGUACUUGGUGUUACUGCGAAGGGGGGACGGAGAAGGCUAUGUUGGCCGGGCGACGGUUGUCCCGGUUUAAGCGUGUAGGUGUGUGUUCCAGGUAAAUCCGGUUCACUUUAACACUGAGGCGUGACGACGAGGCACUACGGUGCUGAAGCAACAAAUGCCCUGCUUCCAGGAAAAGCCUCUAAGCAUCAGGUAACACGAAAUCGUACCCCAAACCGACACAGGUGGUCAGGUAGAGAAUACCAAGGCGCUUGAGAGAACUCGGGUGAAGGAACUAGGCAAAAUGGUGCCGUAACUUCGGGAGAAGGCACGCUGACACGUAGGUGAAGUGAUUUACUCAUGGAGCUGAAGUCAGUCGAAGAUACCAGCUGGCUGCAACUGUUUAUUAAAAACACAGCACUGUGCAAACACGAAAGUGGACGUAUACGGUGUGACGCCUGCCCGGUGCCGGAAGGUUAAUUGAUGGGGUCAGCGUAAGCGAAGCUCCUGAUCGAAGCCCCGGUAAACGGCGGCCGUAACUAUAACGGUCCUAAGGUAGCGAAAUUCCUUGUCGGGUAAGUUCCGACCUGCACGAAUGGCGUAAUGAUGGCCAGGCUGUCUCCACCCGAGACUCAGUGAAAUUGAACUCGCUGUGAAGAUGCAGUGUACCCGCGGCAAGACGGAAAGACCCCGUGAACCUUUACUAUAGCUUGACACUGAACAUUGAGCCUUGAUGUGUAGGAUAGGUGGGAGGCUUUGAAGUGUGGACGCCAGUCUGCAUGGAGCCGACCUUGAAAUACCACCCUUUAAUGUUUGAUGUUCUAACGUGGACCCGUAAUCCGGGUUGCGGACAGUGUCUGGUGGGUAGUUUGACUGGGGCGGUCUCCUCCUAAAGAGUAACGGAGGAGCACGAAGGUUGGCUAAUCCUGGUCGGACAUCAGGAGGUUAGUGCAAUGGCAUAAGCCAGCUUGACUGCGAGCGUGACGGCGCGAGCAGGUGCGAAAGCAGGUCAUAGUGAUCCGGUGGUUCUGAAUGGAAGGGCCAUCGCUCAACGGAUAAAAGGUACUCCGGGGAUAACAGGCUGAUACCGCCCAAGAGUUCAUAUCGACGGCGGUGUUUGGCACCUCGAUGUCGGCUCAUCACAUCCUGGGGCUGAAGUAGGUCCCAAGGGUAUGGCUGUUCGCCAUUUAAAGUGGUACGCGAGCUGGGUUUAGAACGUCGUGAGACAGUUCGGUCCCUAUCUGCCGUGGGCGCUGGAGAACUGAGGGGGGCUGCUCCUAGUACGAGAGGACCGGAGUGGACGCAUCACUGGUGUUCGGGUUGUCAUGCCAAUGGCACUGCCCGGUAGCUAAAUGCGGAAGAGAUAAGUGCUGAAAGCAUCUAAGCACGAAACUUGCCCCGAGAUGAGUUCUCCCUGAGACUUAGAGUCUCCUGAAGGAACGUUGAAGACGACGACGUUGAUAGGCCGGGUGUGUAAGCGCAGCGAUGCGUUGAGCUAACCGGUACUAAUGAACCGUGAGGCUUAACCUUACAACGCCGAAG
rnacentral:rRNA from 2 species